UCAUAAGUUGUGUCACAUGACCAUUCACCCGGCUUGAAAAUUUCAUGAAAUUUGGACCAAAAUUAACGAAACAGUGGCGAUUUCCAUGUUUUUUAUCGAUUUUUCGACAAGUUACAGAUUUCGGAAUUCUUCAAGACUAGAUAGCCGGCUGGUUGCAUGGUGUGUACUGCAGAUAACUUCUCGACUUAAUCCGGCUGAUGUGAUGCUUUAGUUGAUUCGAGAGGCUACAUGUAUAUAGGCCCAGUACGUCGACAUCAUUGAUCCGGCAGUGAACAAGAUAAGUGGUUCAGCCUCCAAGAUGUGUCACCAGAAAUGCAACCGACAUUAUAGACAGGCGUGAUUACUACUCUGAUUUUGGACUGAUGGUAUACUCAUCUUCAAAAUGGACCUGACUAGGAAUGAUGAUGGUGACUUCCCUCCUCAGAAAAAAGCUCGGUUGGAUUCGAAAGUUGGUGCAGGCGGUCAUUAGCGAUAUUUCGGUCGUAAACGCAAGAAGUCCAAGAAAUCCACUGACAAAUCAGGAAAACGUAUAUUCAAUGUCGGCGACACGUGUUUGUUCAGAUUGGACUCAAACGUUUAUCUUGGAACCGUUCUUAGUCAAGUUGAUGAACAUCAUUUCCAAAUUGAGGACUAUACAGGAACAGUGCGCACCUUCAUUUGUCUGUCACUUUGAUUAAAAGAAAGUUAAAGUUGAAACUUCUAUA